rnacentral:rRNA from 1 species
ACGCUCGACACCUACGGGAGCAGCAGUGGGGAAUAUUGCACAAUGGGGGAAACCCUGAUGCAGCAACGCCGCGUGAAGGAAGAAGGUUUUCGGAUCGUAAACUUCUAUCAAUAGGGAAGAAAGAAAUGACGGUACCUAAAUAAGAAGCCCCGGCUAACUACGUGUCAGCAGCCGCGGUAAUCUGAGCGGGCUGGCAAGGC